ensembl:lncRNA
GCUUCAGCUAUGCUUGGGGAAUAGAAAGAGCUCAAAAGUGCUCCUUGUUUUUACUAAAAGGCUAGAGAAAGAAUGAGCAGAUCAGGUUCAGAGUUCCCAAAAAGGGUUAUGGAGAGAGAGAAGCUAAGGCAAACUGAUGCCUUGCAUACGGGCCCAGGGAGGAAUGCAGAACCAUGCAGUCCUGCCCCAGAGUCGGGGUGGAGGGGAGGUGUUUCUUGGAAGGAAUUUUCAGGGCUUUGGAUGUCCCUGGGGUACUGGCUUCUCUAUAUUGCUUCCUGUAUCCCCAUCUCCCUCAAAUCCAGAGGAAAUAGGAAGAAGGGCUUUGAGCAGCUCAAACUCAUCCUGCCACUCUCAACCUUGGGAAGGAAUGGAAAGGGGCAUCUGUCCUUGUCCAACAUGAGCUGAGGACAUAUAGGUCUUGUUCCAGGGCUCUCUUUCCCUACAGCCCUGCACACGUCCCUUCCCCACAGAAAGGAGUGAGAUGUCUCUUGCACGAGUGAAGGAGGCAAUUUCGGAACAUCAGUUUCAAGCAGAAACCAAAGGAUCCUGUGAAGAAUGUAGCUUGAGUCAAAGCUAUUAAUCAAAAGGGAGUCUGACCUGAUGUGACACUGGAUAAUAGGAGGUGGGGAAGAUAGGACAGGAGGACCCAACCCCAAGGGCAGACAAGUUGCUGGGACUCAGGGAGUUGAAUGGGGUGCUAGUUUACCAAACCCAAUGCAGUCAUCUUAAUCUCUUGGUUCUACGUCCAGGAUGCCAAUCUGUGGAUCUUGAUUGAUCAGGAGGAGUAAACGUGUCCUUCGUUUGAGGCAGGUCUAACUUCAGUUUUAAGACACUCUGUCUCUGAAGCUCUGCAGUGACCCCUGGUCCUCCUGAAGUGUUGACUUCUUUCUGCACUACUGUUUUAUCCCGCCCUGAUCUCUCUAGUUUCUGAUUCUUUGUCUGACUUUGCCUCCCCAUUUCCUUCUGUCUUUUGGCUUUUGUUUACCUCUGACUUCAGGCUAUCUGUACAAUGUAUUCCUAUAAUCUGGUUCCAUCUUCUUCCUUAGUUAAUUUUCUGCUCCUAUUUUAUAAUCCUUCAUUGCACAAUCCAUUGUUGCUCAAGUUUUGGUGUAACAAAGGAGGAGGGUCUGGGGAAUAUCAGAAGGGACUCCAUGUUCUACAAAAGAGGAAUAGAGGGAUGACAAUCAUGAGUAUUGAAUUUGUUCUUGUAAGUGUCCUUAUCCUGUUAUAAGUUAGUUGAGUCAUGAAGUGACAGUGUGUGUCAGCCUACAGUGUGUAGCGCUAGUCAUGAGGGGAGCCGCUGGAGAAGACCACCAGGAAAGACUUGAUUAGAUGGAGUUGUAUGGUUUUGAGUGGAAGAAAUCUUCCCUUCUGUCCUUAUCCCCUCUGCCUACCCACCUUGUACUCUUUGGUAGUUAUGCCAGAGUUCACUUGAGCUCAACCUGUGCAUGAGAUGGGCUCCUUAUCUGUUUUAUUACCAGAUGUCAUUCUGCCAUUUGAUGUUUAUUAAAUAUGGCAUCUUAUUAUUACAGAGGACACUUUCCAGAGACGAACUGUGACAGCAAAAGCCAGUUCAAGUCUCACAUUCAUCAGUGUUUUGGAAAGAACAUAGCCAUUUUCGCUGUUUAAUUCCUAUCUAUUCCUUGGUGAUGCUGAUAACAACCUUCUCAAUUAGGACUGAAGAAGUGUGUCUAACAUUCUGGAAAACACACCACCCAACCCCCCAAGGUGCCUGAGUUUAUGUAAAAAGAGAGAUUGUCUUCGCUGUCAAGGUUUCCUGCCUCUCACUUCACUCCCACAGCUAUGUGUGUGAAUAUUCAGAAGCAAGGUUGGAGCUGAUUUGGAGUGAUGACUCUAAAGAAGAGAUAAGUUGCGUGUAAGUGUGUGUUCUCAGCCAUGGGUAGAACGGGGUAAGGAUUUCACACAAUUGCAGUUUUUAG